rnacentral:rRNA from 1 species
UAAGGAAUAUUGGUCAAUGGACGCAAGUCUGAACCAGCCAUGCCGCGUGAAGGAUGAAGGUCCUCUGGAUUGUAAACUUCUUUUAUAUGGGACGAAACCCGGGAAUUCUUUCCCGAUUGACGGUACCAUAAGAAUAAGCACCGGCUAACUCCGUGCCAGCAGCCGCGGUAAUACGGAGGGUGCAAGCGUUAUCCGGAUUCACUGGGUUUAAAGGGUGCGUAGGAGGGCAGGUAAGUCAGUGGUGAAAUCUCCAAGCUUAACUUGGAAACUGCCGUUGAUACUAUCUGUCUUGAAUAUUGUGGAGGUGAGCGGAAUAUGUCAUGUAGCGGUGAAAUGCUUAGAUAUGACAUAGAACACCAAUUGCGAAGGCAGCUCGCUACACAUAUAUUGACUCUGAGGCACGAAAGCGUGGGGAUCAAACA